GACGAACGCUGGCGGCGUGCUUAACACAUGCAAGUCGAACGGAAAGGCCCUGCUUUUGUGGGGUGCUCGAGUGGCGAACGGGUGAGUAACACGUGAGUAACCUGCCCUUGACUUUGGGAUAACUUCAGGAAACUGGGGCUAAUACCGGAUAGGAGCUCCUGCUGCAUGGUGGGGGUUGGAAAGUUUCGGCGGUUGGGGAUGGACUCGCGGCUUAUCAGCUUGUUGGUGGGGUAGUGGCUUACCAAGGCUUUGACGGGUAGCCGGCCUGAGAGGGUGACCGGCCACAUUGGGACUGAGAGACGGCCCAGCCUCCUACGGGAGGCAGCAGGGGGGAAUAUUGGAGAACGGGCGGAAGCCUGAGGCAGAAACGCCGCGUGCGGGAUGACGGCCUUCGGGUUGUAAACCGCUUUCGCCUGUGACGAAGCGUGAGGGACGGUAAUGGGUAAAGAAGCACCGGCUAACUACGUG
rnacentral:rRNA from 1 species